GACGAACGCUGGCGGCGUGCUUAACACAUGCAAGUCGAACGGAAAGGCCCUGCUUUUGUGGGGUGCUCGAGUGGCGAACGGGUGAGUAACACGUGAGUAACCUGCCCUUGACUUUGGGAUAACUUCAGGAAACUGGGGCUAAUACCGGAUAGGAGCUCCUGCUGCAUGGUGGGGGUUGGAAAGUUUCGGCGGUUGGGGAUGGACUCGCGGCUUAUCAGCUUGUUGGUGGGGUAGUGACUUACCAAGGCUUUGACGGGUAGCCGGCCUGAGAGGGUGACCGGCCACAUUGGGACUGAGAUACGGCCCAGACCCCUACGGGAGGCAGCAGUGGGGAAUAUUGCGCAAUGGGCGGAAGCCUGAUGCAGCAACGCCGCGUGCGGGAUGACGGCCUUCGGGUUGUAAACCGCUUUCGCCUGUGACGAAGCGUGAGUGACGGUAAUGGGUAAAGAAGCACCGGCUAACUACAUG
rnacentral:rRNA from 1 species